rnacentral:tRNA from 1 species
UGCGGUGCCGGUCGGUGGUUCGCAGACCUCGAAAGCGUGUGAGGUGAAAGCCUCCGUGGGUUCAAAUCCCACCGCCACCGCAG